AAAGGCAGGGACAAGAGCGGUGUGUGUUUCACCUUGGGCGAGGCGUGGGAUGGAUGUGUCUGCACACCCGGAGUGGGAAACGAUGGCCGGGAGUGAAGCUGUGGGAGGUCGCUCGGGCUCGCCUGUCACUUGCGAAGCCUCUGGAGUGCUUCUCGGGAGAUGGCUGACGGGAAGAGAGCAAGCGGCCGAGUGAUGCCACUGGAGGUGGCAGAGCCAUUCGAGGUUCAGGCUGCUGAAAGUGAAGUCAGGACCUGCCUCUUGCUCGUGCGGUGCGUGCGCGACAGCGAGCAAGGAGGAGGGGGUGUGAGUGAGGAGGGAAGGCCAGGUUUGAGUGACAUUCGGUUUCACACGCAAAACAGACACUGGGGUUCGGUGGCACCUCGCGGUUUGCCGCCUCCUGAACCUUACGCUGACUGCAAACACGCGGCUGAGCGCACAAGCAUAGGGGCGCAUCACGCGUGGGCUGCUGCGGAGCCCCGGGUGUGAUUCCCGCUGGGAGGGCCGUGCGCUGCGGGUGCCUGCGUGUCUCACCGCACGGCGUAAAAUGGCAGGUGUACCCAAGUGCUGAGACGCGCUUUUCACAGAUGCCAAAAGGCGGUUUUGGUUUUGUUUACGUUUGUAAAGAGGGAGCUGGAGUUCAGCUCGCUCUACCUCAUGCUGGGGUACAUCAGAUAAGAAGCCUUCAGGAGAGAAAAGGCUAUCGGACAGGGAAGAAACAGCGGGUGUUUCUAGCUCGCAGAUAUUUUAAGUAAACUCAAAGGAAUUAGAAUAUGUAUUGCCUUGGGUGUCUCUACACAUACUACCCUAACCACUGAUUGUGUCAAGUAUUUGGGGAGGUGUGGGGUGGCAUAGGAUCUGAGAGCAGUGGGUGAGGAGGAGGGCCUUGGUCUCUGCUCUGAAAACUGAAGGAUGCUGAUAUUUACCCCUAAUGGGGGUGAGUUUGUCUGGGUGACACAAUGAUGGAGCAUCAAUAUCUGCACAUGAUAUCACAGGAGCUGUAGCAUUAUGUGUACCUGCAUACGCAUGAAUGCGUAUGUUACAGCGUGUAUACAUAGGUCCUGGGACUCCAUUUGGCUUGACAUAGGUUUGUUUUUCACACUUCAAUUUGCCCAUUACAAAUAUGAUAAGAAAGAAUUAGUAAAGUCUCCCAAGCUUGGCUCCAGUAUUUUCAAUGCUAUUUGUCACUUCAUUGUUAUCCACUUAAUCCUUUGCAAAACAGAUGCUUGAACUUGAUAGAGAAACAGGUGUGCAAGUCUGCACGCCACAAUUUGCACAGUGCAAAUCAGGUGCAUUGGGGAGCUCUGUUUCUAAACUGGAUCCAAGGGCUUUUCUCAGCAAUUCCAGCUCACAGAAUGUUUAUGCCUAGUGCACUCAAACACACAACGUUCGGGUGAUGUUAGUGUGUUGUUAAGUGUGGAAGAUAUUAACAUUAACAUGAUGCUGGUGUGGAAGAAGAUGGCAAGUGUAGAUGCACUGGGAUGGUUUGCUGGAGGCUGGGCAGUGACCAGCACAGGAAGGAAUAUGCUCGCAGUGUGAUUGGUCGAGGGCUGACAUACAUAAGCCUUCCCCAUCUGGAGUGAUACUUUUCUGUGUGGUUUUAUCCUAAAACACUGGAGAGUGUGUGCACAGCUGCUGAUGGCUCAUGCACAGCUGCUGAUAGACAAAACCCUCUUACUGUUUUAUCCCCAGAUGAUGUCCUCCUUCUUCUCUCAUGCAGUGUCUGUCACCAAAUUAUAAUUAAAAAAAUAUGGAAAUGAUGUUAGACAAAAAGAAAAUUGGAGCGAUUUUCUUAUUAGAGUUCAAAACGGAUCAUAAAGCAGUGGAGACAACUUGCAACAUCAACAAUGCGUUUGGCCCAGGAACUGCUGAAGAACGUACAGUGCAGUGGUCAUUCAAGAAGUUUCACAAAGGAGACGAGAGCCUUGAAGAUGAGGAGCAUAGUGGCGGCCAUUGGAAGUUGACAACAACCAAUGGAGAGCAAUCAUUGAAGCUGAUCCUCUUACAACUACAUGACAAGUUGCUGAAGAACUCGGCAUUAACCAUUCCACAGUCAUUCAGCAGUUUUAUCAAAUUGGAAAGGUGAAAAAGCUCGAUAAAUGGGUGCCUCAUGAGCUGACUGAAAAUUUUUAAAAAUUGUCAUUUUGAAGUGUUGUCUUCGUCUACACAGCGACAAUGAACCAUUUCUUGAUCAGAUUGUGACAUGUGACAAAAAGUAGAUUUCAUAUGACAAUUGGCAAUGACCAAUCAGCUCAGUUGUUGUACUGGAAGGAACCUCCAAAGCACUUCCCAAAGCCAAACUUGCACCAAAAAAAGGUCAUGGUCAGUGUUUGUUGGUCUGCUGCCAAUCUGAUCCACCACAGCUUUCUGAAUCCUGGUGAAAACAUUACACUGAGAAGGAUGCUCAGCAAAUUGAUGAGAUGCAAUGAAAACUCCUACAUGUGCAAUGGACAUUUAUCAAUAAAAAGGGCCCAAUUCUUCCUCAUGACAACACCCAAAUGCACAUUGCACAACCAACACUUCAAAAUUUGAAUGAAUUGGACUACAAAGUUUUGCCUCAUCUGCUGUUUUCACGUGACCUCUCACCAGCCAGCUACCACUUCUACAAGCAUCUCAACAAGUUUUUGCAGGGAAAAUGCUUCCACAACCAGCAGGAUGCAGAAAAUGCUUUCCAAGAGUUCAUCGAAUUCCGAAGCAUGGAUUUAUAAGCUACAGGAAUGAGCAAACUUAUUUCUUGUUGGCAAAAAUAUGUUGAUUGUAAUGGUUCCUAUUUUUAUUAAUAAAGAGGUGUAUGAGCCUAGUUAUAAUGAUUUAAAA